UCUACUGAUUUAUACUUAAUAUGUUAGAUAUUAUAUGACAUCUACAAAAAUUAUUAUUAAGAUAUAAUUAUAGAUUCUAGACUAGUUAUAUAUGUACAUAAAAUAUAUAAAUAAAAGAUACAAUUUAUGCAGGCCUAGAUCCCAUAAAUUUAUAAUUGAUCCAGAUCUAUCAGUAAAAGUUACCUUCGAUUGGCAGUUUUACCCAAUCUAAUCUAUACAAGACAAUUUAUAAUCCAUGCCUUGCCUACACCCCAUAUAUAUUAAAUAAUAGUUUCCAUUCCAUGCCAUACCCAGACCCAUGAGUUCAUGAAAUAAUAAAUGAUGUGGUGUCAAGUUGGAUCUAUCCCCUGAAAUUCAGUGCUUUAAUUUAAAACUCACAUAUCUAGUUAAUUAUUUGCUAUGACACUCUGAUAAACUUGGACUUGUGUGAUACAUAUAUGUUUCUUAUCAGAUUUAAUUAAUGAAGUUUUGGUGCAUUUUAACCAGUAAUAAGGCUACAAAAGUAGCAUCAGGUGUAUUCUAACCAUUGGUAUUUUUCCUGGCAACAUUUCUAUUCUAGUCUGUGAUAAAUUAUAAAUAAAAAAAAAUGUUUGUAAUGUUUCAGUUAUUAACAAGUAGAACCAUGGCAACCAGUUCUGAUGAUGUCCCAGAAUGGCUCAAGGAUCAUACUUAUACUAUUUCUACUCUCUGGGCAUCCAUUCAAUAUUUAAUUUAUGUUUGGAAAUGCAAGAAAAAGGCAUGCAUUCCUGAAAAGUCAAUGAUUGCACCUCUUAAAGAUAACUUUCUGUUAUGAGAAAAGAUGAGAUUCUUUGACUCCUGCAUAGCACCACCAGAAAGGAAAAUCCCAUCAUGUUGCAAAAUAAAAGUCUUGGACCAAUUUUAAUUUAAGAUAUAUAUAUUAUACUGUAAGCUGUAUACAUAUUUAUGUAUAUCCUGUCAUUCAGCCAACAGGUUUGGAUUUAGUAUUUCUUUAAAUCUGUUCGAUAUUGUACUUGAAAACUAUUAAUCUGAGCCGCAUUAAAACAAGAGGGAGUGCAGUGGAUGAGUGGUAAGGGAAAUUUUACUUUUUUAAAAUUAAAAUAAGAAUCUAACAAAAGUAAACAUAUAAAAUAUGGUGCAUUCUCCUUAAAACUAAAACCUGGUGCAAAGGUUUAAAAUGUUGGCAAAAAAAAAAGCAACAUCAAUUAAAUAUUUUUAAUUCCCUUUGCAAAACUUACUGAGAAGAACAUGCAUGUUGUUCCCUCAUAAGUUUCUUGACAGAGGAAAUCUUGUUUAUAUUAGAUUUGAAUUAAGCAAAUUAAGAAAAAAAUUAUAAUCAUUAUUUCAAAUGGUUGUAUCUAAACCUUAUGAAUUAUUUUUCAGUUAUAAGUAUAUUGAAAUGAAUGGAUAAUCAUGAAAUUGUUAAAUAAUUGCUGCUAUCAUUCCAUUGACUAAAGAACCAUAAUUUUUUUUUUUAUUAAUUUCAAAAUUAAUUAAUUAAUUUUCAAGCAGAGUUCACAUAGAUCUUGAGUGAAAUUUUUCUUUUUUUGACUAAUGCUUCAAUUUUAUUGUAUCAUUAGUUUUUUAUUUUUAUUACCCAGAAUAUUUUAAAAAUGAGUACACUAUUUUCAUGUAAUAAUGUAACUUGGUAUUCACACAUCAAAAUACGCUAUAAUCUUUAGGCCAUAUAGAUUUGUAUAAAUAUAAAUUAACUUGCUUAAAUACAUUGUAAAUGUAUAUUGUUUGGAUAAGAAUAAAGUUUUUCUGUAGACAA